UACGAAGGGGGCUAGCGUUGUUCGGAAUUACUGGGCGUAAAGCGUGCGCAGGCGGUUAUUUAAGUCAGGUGUGAAAGCCCUGGGCUUAACCUAGGAAUUGCGCUUGAGACUGGAUAGCUUGGAGUGCGGCAGAGGGAGGUGGAAUUCCACGUGUAGCAGUGAAAUGCGUAGAGAUGUGGAGGAACACCGAUGGCGAAGGCAGCCUCCUGGGCCAGCACUGACGCUCAUGCACGAAAGCGUGGGGAGCAAACAGG
rnacentral:rRNA from 1 species